CUUGUCACAUUUACUGAAAAUCAGCCUAUUGAUAUCACAGCUGAAAAUAUAAACUCGACAACCAAAGCCCAUUGCACAACGUGGACUGCGUAAGAGUUAAAAAUAGAUGCGACGUGCCUCCUACCUGCAUAAUAAAUAUUCCCUCAAAAUCCUGAGCAGUAUUGACAAACCACACAAGCACAGGGUCUGACUGCAUGAUCAGCUGUCUGUGUCUACGCUACACCCUGUUAACCACAAGCAGUGUUAGAGCUAAAUAUAUCUGCAAUGCAGAAACGAAAGCAAGACUUGGCAAUCAGCUGAUGACUCUUCUCCUUACCGAUCUUGUGUAAGUUGAAACCUUGAUCUGACAAAGGAUAUUGUAAGAACAGUUAUCUAAAACUGCAUGGAGCUCUCCAGCAGAAUCAGGCCAAGGGGCUUGAUUCUAACGCUGCAAAUGGUAGUAAAGCUUUGCAGUUGGCUAUUGACAGAGUAGAUCUGGUUCUGUAAAGUUGCUGAAACUACAGAAAAUUUUACUUCUUAGUUCACAACAUGUUUUUCUCAAAAAGUAAGGAUAAGGUCAAUGAUGGGACCCUGAAGCCUUCCCACCUCCUCAGGAGAACUGCAGGGAGCAAGAGCAGGGGCAUUUAACUUAGAGGUCAGAUGUAAACUUUCCACAGGUCAGACACAUACCCUCUAUACUGUAUUCUGUAUUCUCAGAAUAGCGCAGCCAACAGUGAGGGACCCUCUGUUCUAACAGCUGUCAGGUGUAUUUCAAUAAAUAUUGAAACCAUGGAGAGUUUUCUGAGCCUGAUGUGAAAUACCAGAGAAUCUGAGGUUUGCUGCAAGCAAUUUGUAACCUCCUUAGAGGCCCAGGAUUAUCAGCCUUACUCGCCUAUCAAGCUCUACCCACUUUUUGGGUCAAAGAGUCACCAAAAUAGGGUCAAAGGACUAGCUCAUUAUUUCCAGUCUUCUCAGCAGUCUGUUCUGAGUGUGGCCGUUGGCUUCUCUGUGACGCAAAUGGCAUUGUUUGUGGAACAAUAUAAUGUUUAUAAUUUGUAAAGCACUACGAUUUGUGCAUGCAGAAGAUAUUCAAUAAGCAUUAACAGCUGUUAUUUAGUGCAACAACCUUUUAUAAAAUUCCGAGGAUAUAGACUAUUUGUUGAACAAUAACAUCCCAGUUCCUACGGUGGCCUUACUUAAACUACAUAUGAAAACAUCCACAAUUUCUCCAGAGAUCAAUAAAUACAGAAAUUAAAAUUUAAUAUUUAAUCUGCUACUUCUGAAGGAGCAACACUUGCAGAGGGAUCGUGGUAAAAAGAAACCGUGAAGAGCAGCGGCUCUGUACCACACGAUUCACCGAGCGCGUCCACAAACCACGACAG